rnacentral:rRNA from 1 species
AUUGAACGCUGGCGGUAGGCUUAACACAUGCAAGUCGAGCGGAAACGAUGAUAGCUUGCUAUCAGGCGUCGAGCGGCGGACGGGUGAGUAACGCGUAGGAAUCUGCCUAGUAGUGGGGGACAACCUGUGGAAACGCAGGCUAAUACCGCAUAAUCCCUGAGGGGGAAAGGAGGGGAUCUUCGGACCUUUCGCUAUUAGAUGAGCCUGCGUGAGAUUAGCUAGUUGGUGAGGUAAAGGCUCACCAAGGCGACGAUCUCUAGCUGGUCUGAGAGGAUGAUCAGCCACACUGGGACUGAGACACGGCCCAG